rnacentral:rRNA from 1 species
CCUACGGGAGGCAGUAGUGAGGAAUAUUGGUCAAUGGACGAGAGUCUGAACCAGCCAAGUAGCGUGAAGGAUGACUGCCCUAUGGGUUGUAAACUUCUUUUAUAAAGGAAUAAAACGAGGCACGUGUGCCUUUUUGCAUGUACUUUAUGAAUAAGGAUCGGCUAACUCCGUGCCAGCAGCCGCGGUAAUACGGAGGAUCCGAGCGUUAUCCGGAUUUAUUGGGUUUAAGGGGAGCGUAGAUGGGUUGUUAAGUCAGUUGUGAAAGUUUGCGGCUCAACCGUAAAAUUGCAAUUGAUACUGGCAGUCUUGAGUACAGUUGAGGUAGGCGGAAUUCGUGGUGUAGCGGUGAAAUGCUUAGAUAUCACGAAGAACCCCGAUUGCGAAGGCAGCUUACUAAACUGUGACUGACAUUGAUGCUCGAAAGUGUGGGGAUCAAACAGGAUUAGAUACCCGGGUAGUC